CUGGCUUGCUAGUGCAGCUCCCGCUUCCUGGUGCAGUGGUGAUGUGAUGGCAAGCUCUCUCUGUGUGUGAUAGAGUUGAGUGGGAAGUGGCAUUCUUCACUUCAGGAUGAAAAGGAGUAGGCUGCUAGACUGAGACAAAAGCACGUGACUCUGAAUGGGGUGGAAGAAGCUGAUGAAGUUUGCCAGAAACAAGCACCAGUUUGCGUGUGGGGGUGUCACUGUCCAAAGAUUUGCUAGGAGAAGAAUAUGGCUCUUCCCUCCAAUCCCCAAACUAGACCUUGGACCAUCUCUCCACUGGACCACCAGCUACAAUGUCAACAGCUCCACAACUUGCAAGUCUUGCCAAAGUGUUUUAAAGGAUGAUUUAUUAAAGGAAAAUCUAAAUUAGCAAUUGGAUAUAUUCCACUAUAGGAACUUAAGACCACUCAUUAAUUCUACAACGACUUUCUGAGCACCUACCAGUGGGCCAGGCUGGGGAAAC
rnacentral:lncRNA from 1 species